CAAGAAGUCUUUCCCACUUCUCCCAGAUGUUAGUUUCACUCCUUCUACAUUCACUUUGUUUUCAUUUUGUAUAUAGACUGUAUUUACUUAUCUAUGAACAUGUUAUAUCUCCAUUACCCUUCCCCAUUCCCAGUAGAAUGUAAGUCUUCUCUUUUGUAUUUUAAUCCCAGGGGCAUAGUAUGUAGUCUCUGGCACAGAAUAUGUACUUAAUAAAUGCUCGUUUGAUUUAUAUAAGACAUUUCAGCAGUGGCCAGGAGCUGUCCACAGUUGGAACUCAUAGAAGAGAGAAAGAGAAGGCUGAGUCAGAUUGAAAUAUUAUGACUCAAAAGACUGUGUCCUAUCCCAUCUAGGCUGGAAGCACUAUCACCUGAUCAACUAUGACAGACUUUAUUCAGUAAUGCAGUGAUCCAAGACAAUUUCAAUAGACUUGUGAUGGAAAAUGCCAUCCUCAUCUAGAGAAAGAACUAUGGAGACUGAAUGCUAAUAGAAACAUACCAUUUUCACUUUUUUCCUUUUUUCUUUCUCAUGGUUUUUCUUCUUUUGUUCUACUUUGUUGUUUUGUUCAGUCACAAUAUGAUUAAUAUGGAAAUAUGUUUAAAAUGAUUGUACAUUUGUAACCUAAGACAAAUUGGUUGCUAUCUUAGGGAGGGGGAAGAAGGAGAGGGAAGGAAAAAAAUUUAGAACUCAAAAAUCUUACAAAAAUUGAUUUUGAAAAUUAUCUUUACAUGUAAUUGGAAAAAAUAAAGUACUAUUAAGUGU